rnacentral:rRNA from 1 species
UGCGGAAGGAUCAUUACUGAGUUAGGGUCUCAUCUCGAGCCCGAACCUCCAACCCUUUGUAUAAAACACUUUGUUGCUUUGGCAGGCCCGUCUGAAAAUCCUUUAACCGGGAUCGACGACCGCCGGGGGCGUUUAGUCACCUCUGGCCAGUGCUUGCCGAUAGCCUAUUCAAAAUUCUUUAUUAAAUCAUGUCUGAAAAAUUAUAACUAAAUAUAAUUAAAACUUUUAACAACGGAUCUCUUGGUUCUGGCAUCGAUGAAGAACGCAGCGAAAUGCGAUAAGUAAUGUGAAUUGCAGAAUUCAGUGAAUCAUCGAAUCUUUGAACGCACAUUGCGCCCUUUGGUAUUCCGAAGGGCAUGCCUGUUCGAGCGUCAUUAUCAACCCUCAAGCUCGGCUUGUUAUUGGGCUCUUAUCGUUAAAGAUAGGCCCGAAAGAUAAUGGCGGCGUCAUAAAUGACCCCAGAUGCAGCGAGCUUAUAGCACACAUCGAAAGGUUUUUAUGGCCCGGCCUUAACGAGAAGCAAUUCUCAAU